ACGCGUAAGGUCCAUGACCAACCUAUCACGCUCUUCCGCAAACUUAGGGCAGUCACAAAGCACAUGACCUAUAGUCUCAGUCACAUUGCACACCUCACAGUGUGGAGACUCGGUGCGUCGCAUGAGGUGCACGUAUCCGCGCGUAAACGCUACCCCCAGCCUUAGUCUGUGCAGAAGUCUGGCACAGCUUCGUUGAAUUUUCGGUGGUAGCCUAAAAUUCAUGGUGGGGUCCAAUCUCUGGAGUCGUCUGUGGCGAUUAUCCGGAUUGUCCCAGUGCUUUUCUGUCAAUUUUCGGAUGACACUGGAGAGGAGACAGUUGGCGUCCGCUCUUGAAAAAGGAAUUGAAAGCAGUGACUCUCGUUCUUCGAGUGCUUUCUUCGCUUCGGCGCCGGCCAGUUCGUUGCCCUGUAUACCACAGUGACUGUAUUGCCUCUCGGGGAUGGGCAGGUGCUCCCCACGCACGCUAUUCGUCAAACCGAGCUCCCCGUGGAUCAUAGUUUACACUGUAAAAAAUUUCCGUAAUUUUACGGUCAAACCUGCCGUAAAAAUUACGUAGACCGUUCAGUUUCAUGAAAAACGGCGGAAUUCUACGUAAAAAAACGGACGUGAGCUCUGUUUUUGAAAUACGGAAAACCGUCCGUAAUUUCAUGUGGAGGGCAACUGAGCAUGUUAAGAGCGAAAAAUCACCACGCAACGAAUAUAAAGAAAAGACACGGCCCACGUUUACCAGCUGUUACAUAAUAUCACCAUAGGUAACGCUGCUUGAACAUUAUUCAUAGGCGAAUCGUAAGUACGCACACACAAACGGAAGAGGUGUCAGUGGUGGCGCUGCUUACCACCCUUCAUCGCUUCUACACCACGGGUUGCAUUUCUCCGCCGCAACAGUACAGAGUGGACAGUGGCUGGAAAUGGCGGUGUGUGGUGGUGGUAGACCUGUUGCAUUUGGGAUUUCACUGAGAGAAUAAGAAGGAAUCGACGAUGGACUGCUACGCAACUAUUGCACCAGUGAAGGAUGUCUGUGUGCCGGUUUGUGCACAAUUUCUCAGCCAGCGGGCCUGAGAAAGUGUGCCACAGCAGUCUGUGUAGUGGUGCUCUUUGUUCUGGAAGGACGCAAGCAUUGCUGAGGAGCCAUUUGACCUGCCGCCACACUAAUAUUGUAUUUGGCAAAGCCGAAGGCCUCUGCAAGCAGCCAGUCAUUCCAAGUCUCAACCAAUCCUUCCUCUAGUCACCCAAUUUCUAGUGUCUAUGCGGAAAGGAUUUGUGCAAAACUGGACACGGGACACUAAAAAGGCGACAAGGACAGGCGUAAACUUCCAACCGGUGUUCGUUACAAAAAGGUAUGUAUAUGUACUCUUGCACACUUGGUCAUAAUCUGUUACAAUCGUGCAAGUCAACAUGGUCAUCACAAAUAAACAAGCGCACCAAGGCCUAAGGCGGCUUCCCGCAUACAGACCCCAGAUAUUCAGAUUCUUUAACAGUCAGUGCUAUAGGGAUGGCUUGUUAACGCUGUUGCAUUCUGCAAUAGCCGCUGCCUCAAUGAUGAGUCUAGUGUUUUCUUUCACACUGCUUGCUAUUAUUUCUGUUUUUUUCAAACAGUCGAUGACAUUUGCAUUGACAGCAAUGGACUCCAAGGAAACCUCCUUUCCCGUUUUGUACUUUCCGAUUAUGUUCCUGUAGUCUCAAGUUUAGGGAACUUCCCAUUUGUCCCACGUAACGCUGCCUGCAGGAAGGAGGUAUGCUAUACACUAUUCCUCUUGAGCAUUUGAUGAAACCCUUUCUGUGCACAAUGUUGCAUGAUUUUGAUUGUCUGCUGACAGGGCUGGUUUUGGCGCAUAACUUGGAUAGCUUGCGGGGUGCGGAAGAAAUGACCAAGACUGCAGUCUUUUGGCCUAUUUUCUUUAGUUACAUCUAUGUGAUACUGUUCACAGGAAUCUAGCAGUCAUCCCAUACAUUACGCUAUCUUGCAUAAACUAAAGAAAAUAGGCCAAUGGGCGGGAGUUUCGGUCGUUUUACCCGCACCCAUCAAGUUAUCUCAGUUAUGUGCCUAAACCAGCCCUGUCAGCAGACAAUCAAUUUCAUGCAACAUUGCUCACAGAAAAGGUUUAGUCGAAAUGCUCAGGGGGAGUAGUGAAUAGCACACCUCUUUUCUGUGGGCAGCGUUACGUGGGACAAACGGGAAGGUGCCUAAAUAUGAGACUACAGGAACAUAAUACAAAAGUACAAAAGGGAGAGAGGGUUUCCUUGGAAUCCACAACUCCCAAUGCAAAUGUCAUGCACUCUGAAAAAACAAAUAAUAGCAAGCAACGCAAAAGAAAGCACUAGGCCCAUCAUUGAGGGGACAGAUAUCGCAUAAGGCAACUGCGUUAGCAAACUAUCCCUAGCGUUGACAUUAAAGAAUUUGCAUACCUGGGGUCUGUAUGUGGGAGGCCGCCUUAGGCCUUGGGGCGGCCUUAGUGCGCUCUUGUAACUGAUUAUGAUCAAGUGCACAAGAGUAUAUAUACAUGCCUUUUCGUAAUAAACACCAAUUGGAAGUUCGCACCUGUUCUUGUCACCUUUUUAAUGUCCUGCGUUCACUCUUGCGAUGGUCACUUCAGCAUGGAAUACCAACUAGCCCGGUCUCAUACACUGCUUUUUUCAGUAAAGCAGAAUAAACACAGGUUUUUUCAGA